GAGGAAUAUUGGUCAAUGGACGAGAGUCUGAACCAGCCAAGUAGCGUGAAGGAUGACUGCCCUAUGGGUUGUAAACUUCUUUUAUACGGGAAUAAAGUGAGGCACGUGUGCCUUUUUGUAUGUACCGUAUGAAUAAGGAUCGGCUAACUCCGUGCCAGCAGCUGCGGUAAUACGGAGGAUCCGAGCGUUAUCCGGAUUUAUUGGGUUUAAAGGGAGCGUAGGCGGACGCUUAAGUCAGUUGUGAAAGUUUGCGGCUCAACCGUAAAAUUGCAGUUGAUACUGGGUGUCUUGAGUACAGUAGAGGCAGGCGGAAUUCGUGGUGUAGCGGUGAAAUGCUUAGAUAUCACGAAGAACUCCGAUUGCGAAGGCAGCUUGCUGGACUGUAACUGACGCUGAUGCUCGAAAGUGUGGGUAUCAAACAGGAUUAGAUACCCUGGUAGUCCACACAGUAAACGAUGAAUACUCGCUGUUUGCGAUAUACAGUAAGCGGCCAAGCGAAAGCGUUAAGUAUUCCACCUGGGGAGUACGCCGGCAACGGUGAAACUCAAAGGAAUUGACGGGGGCCCGCACAAGCGGAGGAACAUGUGGUUUAAUUCGAUGAUACGCGAGGAACCUUACCCGGGCUUGAAUUGCAACUGAAUGAUGUGGAGACAUGUCAGCCGCAAGGCAGUUGUGAAGGUGCUGCAUGGUUGUCGUCAGCUCGUGCCGUGAGGUGUCGGCUUAAGUGCCAUAACGAGCGCAACCCUUAUCGAUAGUUACCAUCAGGUUAUGCUGGGGACUCUGUCGAGACUGCCGUCGUAAGAUGUGAGGAAGGUGGGGAUGACGUCAAAUCAGCACGGCCCUUACGUCCGGGGCUACACACGUGUUACAAUGGGGGGUACAGAAGGCAGCUACACGGCGACGUGAUGCUAAUCCCGAAAGCCUCUCUCAGUUCGGAUUGGAGUCUGCAACCCGACUCCAUGAAGCUGGAUUCGCUAGUAAUCGCGCAUCAGCCACGGCGCGGUGAAUACGUUCCCG
rnacentral:rRNA from 1 species